rnacentral:lncRNA from 1 species
UCGACAAUGUGCUAAUGUAAAGUUGCCUGAGCUUAUGGAAGAUUUUGAAGGCCUGGAUUCCAUGUGUUGAGACUGGCACCAUAUCAGAGGAACAGCUGAGUAUAUGGAGCAGGGAAGCUACGUGACCUCUGUAAGAAUCCACAGCAUCCUGGCACCAUGACCAGCACAAUGCUGCUGCUGGGGACAAGCUGAAGCCUUUGUCUUUCCUGGGGCUUCUUUCCUGCCUGCUCAUCUGGAGGGCUCAUUGAGACUGGGUGAUGCCAGACCCAAAGGAAGCACCAACUAA